CAGUCGCCGCGGUAAUACGAAGGGGGCUAGCGUUGCUCGGAAUGACUGGGCGUAAAGGGCCCGCAGGCGGUUUCUUAAGUCUGAUGUGAAAGCCCCCGGCUCAACCGGGGAGGGUCAUUGGAAACUGGGAAACUUGAGUGCAGAAGAGGAGAGUGGAAUUCCACGUGUAGCGGUGAAAUGCGUAGAGAUGUGGAGGAACACCAGUGGCGAAGGCGACUCUCUGGUCUGUAACUGACGCUGAGGAGCGAAAGCGUGGGGAGCGAACAGGAUUAGAGACCCCCGUAGUCCCUGUCUUUAUACA
rnacentral:rRNA from 1 species